rfam:Triticum aestivum genome assembly, contig: Triticum_aestivum_CS42_TGACv1_scaffold_556329_7AL
AUAAUACUCCCUCUGUCCCAAAAUUCUUGUCUUAGAUUUGUCUAAAUAUGGAUGUUUCAAGCCACGUUUUAGUAUUAAAUACAUCCGUAUCUAGACGAAUCUAAGACAAGAAUUUUGGGACGGAGGGAGUACAUG